rnacentral:rRNA from 1 species
ACAAUGCAAGUCGAACGAUAACGGAUUUUAGUUUACUAAAAUUAAGUCAGCUAAGUGGCGCACGGGUGAGUAAUAUAUAGUUAACCUGCCCCAAAGAAGAGAAUAAUUGAUGGAAACGUCUUGUAACUCUCUAUAUGCCUUUAUCACAUAAGUGAGCAAGGGAAACAUUUAUGGCUUUGGGAUGGGACUGUACGGUAUCAAGAUAGUUGGUGAGGUAAUGGCUCACCAAGUCAAUGACGCCUAACUGGUUUGAGAAGAUGAUCAGUCACACUGGAACUGAGACACGGUCCAGACUCCUACGGGAGGCAGCAGUGGGGAAUAUUGCACAAUGGGAAGAAACUCUGAUGCAGCAACGCCGCGUGGAGGAUGACACAUUUCGGUGCGUAAACUCCUUUUAUAUGAGAAGGAUAAUGACAGUAUCAUAUGAAUAAGCACCGGCUAACUCCGUGCCAGCAGCCGCGGUAAUACGGGGGGUGCAAGCGUUACUCGGAAUCACUGGGGCGUAAAGAGCAUGUAG